CCCGCUUCGCUUUUGUUCCCCCCCUCUCUCUCUCCCUCCUUCUCCCCUCCCCUUUGAUUUUCUUCGAAACAGAGUUGGAAAACAGCAGAGAGAAAUUGAGAGGGAGAGAAAGGGAGAGAGAGCUCACCCAAGCGAGACAGCUGCAUUGUCCAUUCUUCAAGUCUGUCCUUGUUUCAGAAGAAGCAAGAGCAGCAUUGUGUCCCACAGAGACUACAAAUAUUCUGGGACACACAGAUUCCAGUUACCUCAAAGUGGAUGAAAAAUGACAAAAGUCUCCUUCGUGUCAGUUAAACACUUAUGCUUCUAGCUUUGGGAAACAGACAUGGAUCAAGUGCCAUAUUGAAACAAAAAGGAAAGUGUAGAAGGAUGUCUCUUGAUAUAUCAUUGACAAAUGAUUAAUCCAAUGGUCCUAUGACCUUAUCCCAUAUUUGGGAGGAAAUGUCAAAGGAUGCUUCUACCCUGGUUGUGGGCGUGGCCUCCACCAGAAGUCACAUGAUGUCAUAUGAUAGCUGACAUGGGUCUCUGUCCCCAAAGAAGGCUUGAAGUGUCCUAGGAUGCUUGUUUUGGAAUUUACAUGCUGGACUCACUACAAUUUGGAACAUUUUUGUAUUCUGUUGACUACAACCAUUCCAUAUGAUGACCUUGCAACCAGCUCACCAUGUCUUUGGAGAACAGCUGCUGAACAAUUCUCAAUGCCUGGAGUAAAUGAUAAAUCAUUCAAUGAAUCCUUGAAUCUCGCUUGGUAUCUUAGCACAUGUGCUCUGCAAAAUGAAAUCAGACAAACAGUUUGUAUUUGCCUUUUGAGGAUCAGUUUGUACAUUGCAAAAAAAAAAAAAGGGUCAGUAGCUCAUGCAUGAUCCCUGCUGUAAUACAGACAUUGAAUUGGAUCAAUACUAUAUAGUAGCCCUUGAGGUUAUCAGAAAUAAACAGAAAUAGGAAAACUACUAGACAAAUGCCAUGUUGUAGUUCUCUUUUUCAUUCUUGAUCUAUAAAGGAUUUCAUCCCUCACCCUCCUCCAGCUACAACUGCAGGAAGGAGAUGCUUUCUUACUUCCAUUCAGAAAGAGGAUGCUACUAUUACAAAUGGCAUCUGAAAAAAAAAUGAUUUGCAGUAUAGGUUGAGAAUUCAUGCCUCAGAAUGAAAGUGCCAAGCCUAAUUUAUAAAUACAGUAAUCACAGAUAAUGGGUUUAGACUAGAUCUUGGUGUAGGCUCCACCCUCAUCUCUAAGGGUCACUUGGUGGUCCUAGACCAAUUAUAGCUUAAUCUCCUUACCAUGAACAUAAAAAAAUGAAGAGGAGGAUGCACACCAUCGUGAGUUCUUGUAGGUGUAUACUUUUAUAAAAAGCACUCAGUAAGAAACCCAACAUUAUUUCUGAGUUGAAAUAUUCAUGAGGUCACAGUACAUGCCAUGAACUGAUGAAAAACAUUACAAGUCACCAAGUUCUGUUUCCUGAACCUAAAAAUCUAAACGUGGACAAUCACAUUACAUUCAUGAAUGUUUCAUGUACAGUCAUUCCUACUCAGAACUUGUGAGAAAGAAACUCUAAAUAAAACAGAGUGGAAUCAGAAAUUCAUAUGCACCCAUGUGGAAAAUGGUGACACCAACAGAACCAUCCUCGAUAUGAGUUUAGAGCCAGAUUUCUCAUAAAGGAAAAUUAUUCCCAAAUUUUAUAUUCUUUAAUUGGGAAAAGGAGCAGAGCUUCCCAUGCUAAUGACCUUUCUUCCAGACACCUUACAUUUUAGAAAUCAACAACUGAUUAGAGGUAAGUCUGGUUCAGUCUACUCUACUGAAUAGAAUUCAGUGGAAAAAAAUCCUCCCCAACACCUGGACAUGUAUCCUAAGACUUUGUAUUAAAAUAUAUAAUUGUCCUAUAAUUGUGGUGCAGUUGUGCACAAACAAAUCUGAGUAAUCAUAAAAUCUACCUAGUUUAGCAUCUCUUUUCAGUAAAUUUGCAGUGGGUCUCAGUUAAUUUCAUGUCAUCCAGAAACAGUUGAUUGGUAGCUAUUGAGCAAUAGCCCCAAGGCCAGUUGAUUCAAGGCUAGAGAUGCUAUUUCUGAAUUUUGUUACAUUUCUCCAAAUUCCAGCUGCAUUGUUGUAUCACUGUUUGUUCAUAUUAGAUUAUAAAAUUUGUUCUCCCUGUCCCCAGGGCCUUUGUAUGCAUUUUUGGUAUUUUUCUCUUGUAAUAUACACACUAUUUACACAUUUUCCCCACUGUAUACAAUUUUGUGCAUAAUUUCUUAAAUAGAUAAAGAAUAAGUUUUGAUGAUUUUCUAGUUUUGACCCAUGUUUAUUCUAAUUCUGUAUAUUUUAAUUUUUAUUUCUGCCAGAUGUACUGCAAGUCUCACUGAUGUGUAAAUGCUUUGUCUCCCAGUGAGUCUGGAAUGCUGUGAAAUGGAUAAUUUUGGAAAGAAUCUUGAAGCCUCUGAUUUUUUUCCACCUCUGUUUGAGAUUCCAGGUUAAUCAAGGAGGAAAUAGUUUUAGAUUUAAUAAAACUGGCAGCCAAGAAUUUAGGAGCAGUCUGAGUAGAUUGGUUUUGUUGUUGCUAUAUGUAGGAAGGACCAUUAAGAAAAGAAUUGUAGAUGUUCCUAUGUAACAGUGCCAUCUGGUGAUAAGUUCUGUGAAUAUAAUACUACAAGUACAGUCAGUUCUAAAGAAAACUAAAUUAGUGUCUCUCUCAUUUGCCACUUUGUUCUCCCAUCAGCCAUCCAUCUCUCCUUCCUGUUUACACUGAUAUAGGGCAGAUGUGGACUACUAAUCUAGGAAACUGAACUUGGCCACUAGUAAUUAGGUGCAUAUAGAUUGACCAACUAAAAUCUGAUAAAUUUACUGGGUUUUCUGAGUGUCCUGGCUUAUAACUAAGUGUGUCAAUAUUAAACUUACUUACUUAAGUGAUCCCUCGUAGUUCGAGGAUGAUGGUCCUCCGUCUUCGCUAUCUUGGGGAUGGAUCUUUAGAUGGCUGAAGAGACCUAUUCUUGAUCUGCAUGUUCUCCCGCAGUGAGGACAUCGGUUUCCAGGUGGAAGGCGGUCUCGGUCAGGGUUGGCUUGACGGGCCUUCCUCUUGGCACGUUUCUCCCUUAAGCCCUCCAUUCGUGCCUCUUCGAACUCCGCAGCACUGCUGGUCACAGCUGACCUCCAACUAGAGCGCUCAAUAUUAAAUAUUAAAACAUGCAUGUGUUAAGAUGUGUUAAGUGAGGACGGGGAACAUGAAAUACCCCAGAUAUCACUGAAGAUUCUGUGAAUGAUCAUUCAUGGAGGAUUCAGGACAGAUAAAGGGAAGUAUGUAUUCACUUAGUACCUAGUUAAAAUGUGAAAGUUGCUAGCAUAAGAUGUAUUGAUGUCUAUCAGCAUCUACCCAACAUUAUGCCGACUAGUAGGCUAAAUAAAUUCAUAAAAGACUGGGCUAUCAGUGGCUAUCAGCCAUACUUGAAAGGUAUUUUCUCCACUACCAUGGUGAGUGUGCCUCUGUUAAACAACUUCUCAGGAGCAUAAGAUCAAAGAUGUAAUCAUGUCAUGCAUGUAGACUUCCUACAGGUAUGUAGACAGACACUGUGCGAACAGAAUGCUGGACUAGUUAGUUUUCAGUCUGAUCAAGUAUGUUUUUUCUUCUGUCAUCAUGAUGCUUCAACUUGGAAAGAUGAAAGCUAGCAAGGACUAAUGAGGAUUGCAAUCCAACAACAUCUGGUAGUUGACAUAUUCCCAGACCUACUCUAAAUUGCUACCCUGCUUAUUUGCCAGAGAUUUAAGAUGUAGGCUAGAUUUUUCUUCUUAUAUUCCAGGAUCUGAUCCCAGAUUACCUGCUUUGAACUGGAUUAUGUGAAUCUACAAUGCCAGCUAAUCUGGGAUAUAGGGCUGUGUGGAAGGGGCCACAGAAACUAUCAAUUGUCCCAACAUUUUAACUGCCCUAAUUUCCUCUGAUAGCUCCAACAAAAUAACACAUCCUAAACAAAAACAAAAACAAACCCAGAGAUAGAGAAUACCACAUCUUCUUAUUUUGCAUCUCUACAUUAACUGGAUCCAUGAAGGGUCCUUUGCCCCAAUGCAUGCCUCUGAAACUUGAAACAGAGAAAUAAUAUACAGUUGCUCAGCUGCCUCUGCCACUUUGGCUUCCAUGUUUUUGCUCCUUGAGUUAAGUGAUGGAAAAGGACAAGAGAGUCACCUGCUUUUAAGCAAAAUCACAUGGCCAGAAAUAAUAAAGCUAUAAUUGUCCAUUUGUCAUUCAGUGACCAGUAAGAACCUUAUGCCAUGCUCUCUCCACCAUCUCACCUUUCUCUGCCCAAGCUAAGGAAGAAAUAUUGUUUCAUUUCAUUUCCAUAAUUGUUUCAUGCCCUUGCAACAAGUACGGAUGCAAUUCACUGCUAAUUUCAUUUUCGAAAGAAGCAAUGAGUGAUUUUAGUAAUUUUCUUUCAUCUGUGAGAAACUCAUUAGAAAACUAUGCAUUUUAAAGAUGAUUUGCUAUUCAGAAAUUAUUCUGAGCAAAAUUUCCUUAUGAUUUGUUUUAAUAGAAAAUAGCCCUUUCUACACAGCAAACAACCUUUUCUGCACAGAAAAUAUUUUUCCAAAGAAAUCUUUUCUUAGGCAGCCGUGGUGCUUUCCAUGGAAUGACCCUUGGCUUAUUUAUGGGUCAUAUCAAAAUUCAUAAUUCUCUCCCUCCCAACCCCCCUCCCCUGUCCUUGACUUAUAUGUGAGGUUAACAUAUACACAGGUAUACAUAGUAUAUGACCAUUGUUUUCUCUUAUGGAAUAAGAUGAGUAAAGUCCCUAUCUCAUAUCUUUUUCUGCACCUUUUAUAAAGAUGAUCAAUCAAGUUAAUAACACCACUACUAAAUAUGUUUCCCGGAAGAUCUGUGGACUGGUACUUGAGAUAACUAUUAAGAGAUACUGGGGGAAAAGAGUAAUAGAAGAGACUGCAAAGUUCUUCCUUUCUACUAUAAAACUCUUAGGCUUGUGUUACACAAUUGUUAAGAAUAUAAGGAGUUGCUUACAAACUAACAAUAUUUGAUUUUUUAAACAAGGGAGCAUUUUUGUUGAGCAAGAGAUUACACUAGAAAGAAACUUGGUUAUACAGUACAGUAGAGUCUCACUUAUCCAACACUCACUUAUCCAACGUUCUGGAUUAUCCAACGCAUUUUUGUAGUCAAUGUUUUCAAUAUAUCGUGCUAUUCAAUAUAUGGUGCUAAAUUCAUAAAUACAGUAAUUACUACAUAGAAUUACUGCAUACUGAACUACUUUUUCUGUCAAAUUUGUUGUAUAACAUGAUGUUUUGGUGCUUAAUUUGUAAAAUCAUAACCUAAUUUGAUGUUGAAUAGGCUUUUUCUUAAUCUCUCCUUGAUAUCCAACAUAUUCGCUUAUCCAACGUUCUGCCGGCCCGUUUAUGUUGGAUAAGUGAGACUCUACUGUAUUUGUUUCAUUUUUAGUUUGAUGUUAAAUGCUUAUAUACUGCAUACUCUAUAUUUAUAUUGUAGAUUUAUAUAUUAUUUUUGAGUGGUUGUUGGUGAGAUGUCAAGAUUAAAGAUAGACAUUUUGGGAGUCAGUGAACUGAAAUGGACUGGAAUGGGCCAUUUCACAACAGAUGACAACCAGAUAUAUUACUGUGGACAAAAGGAACACUAAAGAAAUGGAGUAGCUUUCAUAAUUAAUAAUAAAGUUGCUAAAGCAGUGCUUGGAUACAACCCAAAAAUGAUAGAAUGAUCUCAAUUCGAGUUCAAGGUAAGCCGUUUAACAUCACAGUGAUCCAAAUAUACGCCCCAACCACAGCUGCUGAAGAAGCAAAAUUAGAUCAGCUCUAUGAGGAUCUGCAGCACCUACUGGAUAAUACACCAAAAAGAGACAUUCUCUUUACAGGAGAUUGGAAUGCUAAGGUAGGCAGUCAAAUGACAACUGGGAUCACAGGCAAGCAUGGUUUGGGACAAAAUGAAGCAGGACGUAGGCUGAUAGAAUUUUGCCAGGAAAACUCACUAUGCAUAACAAACACUCUCUUCCAACAACCUAAAAGACAGCUUUAUACAUGGACUUCACCAGAUGGUCAACACCGAAAUCAGAUUGACUACAUCCUUUGCAGCCAAAGGUGGUGGACAUCCAUCCAGUUGGUGCAAACAAGACCUGGAGCUGAUUGUAGUUCAGGUCACGAACUUCUUAUUGCACAAUUUAGAAUCAGACUAAAGAGAAUGGGGAAAAUACACAGACCAUUUAUUUAUUUAUUUGCAGUAUUUAUAUUCCGCCCUUCUCACCCCGAAGGGGACUCAGGGCAGAUCACAUUAUAUACAUAUAGGGCAAACAUUCAAUGCCCAUAUACACAUAGAACCGAGACAGAGACAGAUGCAGGGGCAAUUUAACCUUCUCCUGAGGGGAUGUUCGAUUCUGGCCACAGGGGGGAGCAGCUGCUUCAUCAUCCACUGGGAUUGCACUUCCUCAUUCCAACAUCUUAAAUUAGUUAAAUUUGCCUCCCCACUUUAUAAGUGGUACCUUAUUUCCUACUUGAUAGAUGCAACUAUCUUUCGGGUUGCUAGGUUAGCAACGAGCAGAAGCUAUUUUUUAUUUUUUAAUUGACAGGUGCUCACCCCACCAUGGGCUGGCCUCGAACUCAUGACCUCAUGAUUUAUUGCAGCAGGCUGCUUACCAGCCACACCCCGGCCCCUCACAAAUAUUCCUACUGAAUAUGCAGUGGAGGUGAAAAAUAGAUUUCAGGGACUAGAUUUAAUAAAUACAGUUCCAGAAGAACUAUGGACAGAAAUCCACAACAUUGUUCAGGAGGCAGCAACAAAGUACAUCUGAAAGAAAAAGAAAAUCAAGAAGGCAAGAUGGUUGUCUGUAGAGACACUGGAAGUAGCCCAAGAAAGAAGGAAGGUAAAAGGAAACAGUGAUAGGGUGAGAUAUACCCAAUUAAAUGCACAAUUCCAGAGGUUAGCCAGAAGAGACAAGGAACUAUUUUUAAACAAGCAAUGCAUGGAAGUGGAAGAAGACAAUAGAAUAGGAAGGACAAGAGACCUCUUCCAGAAAAUCAGAAACAUCGGAGGUAAGUUUCAGGCAAAGAAAUGGGUAUGAUCGAAAACAAAUAUGGCAAGGACCCAACAGAAGCUGAAGAGAUCAAGAAAAGGUGGUGAGAAUAUACAGAAGAUCUGUAUAGGAAGGAUAAUAAUAUAUAGGAUAGCUUUGACGGUGUGGUGAGUGAAUUAGAACCAGAUAUCCUGAGGAGUGAGGUUAAAUUGGCCUUAAGAAGCAUUGCUAAUAACAAGGCAGGAGGAGACAAUGGGAUCCCAGCUGAGUUGUUUAAAAGGUGAUGCUGUCAAGGUGAUGUAUGCCAUAUGCCAGCAAAUAUGGAAACACAAGAAUGGCCAUCAGAUUGAAAAAAAUCAAUUUAUAUCCCCAUACCAAACUUCCAUACAGUGGCACUUAUUUCACAUGCCAGUAAAGUAAUGCUCAAGAUCCUGCAAGGUAGACUCCAGCAAUACAUGGAGCAAGAGUUGCCCGAUGUACAAGCUGGGUUUAGAAAAGGCAGAGGAAUGAGAGACCAAAUUGCCAAUAUCUGCUGGGUAAUGGAGGAAACUAGGGAAUUUCAGAAAAACAUCUAUUUCUGCUUUAUUGACUAUUCUAAAGCCUUCAACUGUGUGGAUCCUAAUAAACUGUGGCAAGAUCUUGGUGGUAUGGAGAUACCAAGUUACCAUGUCUGUCUCCUGAGAAAUCUGUAUAAAGACCAAGUAAGAACAGACCAUGGAACAACAGACUGGUUCAAGAUUGGGAAAGGAGUAUGGCAGGGCUGUAUACUUUCACCCUACCUGUUCAACCUGUGUGCAGAACACAUCAUGCAACAUGCGGGGCUUGACGAAUCCAAGGCUGGAAUUAAAAUUGCCAGAAGAAACAUUAACAACCUUAGGUAUGCAGAUGAUACCACUCUGAUGGCUGAGAGUGAGGAGGAGCUGAGGAGCCUUAUCACCAAGGUGAAAGAAAAAAGUGCAAAAUCUGGGUUGCAGUUUAACAUCAAGAAAACAGAUUUUAAGCAUAUGUUUUAUGUUUUAUAUUUUAUACUGUAUUUAAUUGGUUGUAAUACAUUUUUAUAUGUUGUUGUUUUUAAUGAUAUGUCGGCAUCAAAUUGUUGCCAAUUGUACUCCGCCCUGAGUCCCUUCGGGUGAGAAGGGCAGGAUAGAAAUAUUGGAAAUAAAUAAAUAAAUAAAACCAAGAUUAUGGCAACCAGACUGAUUGAUAACUGGCAAAUAGAGGGAGAAAAUGUGGAGGCAGUGACAGACUUUAUAUUUCUAGGUGUGAAGAUCACUGCAGAUGCAGACUGCAGCCAGGAAAUCAGAAUACGUUUACUUCUUGGGAGGAGAGCAAUGGCCAACCUCGAUAAAAUAGUGAAGAGCAGAGAUAUCACACUGGCAACAAAGGCCCGCAUAGUUAAAGCAAUGGUAUUCCCCAUAGUAACCUAUGGAUGUGAGAGCUGGACCAUAAGGAAGGCUGAGUGAAGGAAGAUGGACACUUUUGAAUGUUGGUGCUGGAGAAAAAUCCUGAGAGUGCCUUGGACCGCAAGAAGAUCCAACCAGUCCAUAUUCCAGGAAAUAAUGCUCUGCUGCUCACAGGAGGGAAGGAUAUUAGAGGCAAAAAUGAAGUAUUUCGGCCACAUCAUGAGAAGACAGGAAAGUUUGGAAAAGACCAUGAUGCUGGGGAAAAUGGAAGGAAAAAGGAAGAGAGGCUGACCAAGGGCAAGGUGGAUGGUAUCCUUGAAGUGACUGGCUUGACCUUGAAGGAACUGGGGGCAGUGAUGGCCGACAGGAAGCUGUGGCAUUCAGAAACGACUGAAUGAUUAAACAACAAAUAUAUUAUUUUAUUACUGAUAUGUUUAAUUUGUUCAUUUUUUCACGAUCGAUUGACUGUAAUAAAGCAUUUGAUUGAUUGAAGUUACAUUACUAACAAAUCAAGAUCAUGUCCACAGGCUGUGCAUGGAAGGAGAAAAAGAGAAGGAAUACUAUUCAAUAAAUUAAAACACUCAGGUUCCAGAUACAAUUGAAAAUGUUUAAGGAGUGUUAUUGAAGUCCUUGUGUGAUCUUUCUAGGGUAAGUAGGGCUGCCUUUGAAGACGGUUUGGAAGUUUCAAUUAGUCCAAUGAGCGGCAGCCAGAUUUCUAACUGAAGCAUCAUACAGGGAACUCACUACUCCUCUGUUACGUCAGCUCUGCUGGCUGCUGAUCUGCAACCAAGCCCAAUUCAAAGUGCUGGUCUUGGCCUAUAAAGCCCUAAAUUCUGGUCCUGGUCCAACUUACCUGUUCAAAUGCAUCUCCUCCUAUGAGCCAAAAAGAGCUUUAAGAUCAGCUGGGGAGGCCCUGCUCUCGAUCCCACCUCCUUCGCAAGCGUGAUUAGCAGGGAUGAGAGACAGGGCUUUCUCAGUGGUGGCCCCUCAGCUGUGGAACUCCCUCCACAGUGACAUCACACAGGCCCCAUCUCUCCUGGCUUUUAGAAAAAAGUUAAAGACUUGGCUCUUUACACAAGCAUUUGAAAAAUAAGUCAUCAUGGAAUUUGACACAGUUUGAAUAAAGAUUAUGAGCAAGGAUUAUGGAUGAACAGAAUUUUGCAAUUUAUGUUUUUAAUCUGUUUAUUGUUCUAUAUGUAUGAUUUUUUGAACUGUUUUAAUUGUUUUAGUUGAUGGGAUUUUUUAUUGUUAUGUUUUAAUGGCAUUGAUUCUUGCUGGAGCUGUAAGCUGCCUUGAAUCCCCCAUGGGGUGAGAAAGGUGGGGUAUAAAUGAAAUAAAUAAAUAAAUAAGUCAAUAAUUGCUUGCUGCUGAGUCUUCAAAUACACUUUUGAAUUCUCUUGCCUUCUCAGUAUUAUAUAGCACUUUAUUGACUAUGUCAGCUGUGUAACUACCUCUCCCUGACUUUGACAUAUUUUGCACUUUGGCCCAGAUCCGUGAAUUCAUCUCUUGUUUUAACAUUUUAUUUUGUAUGUUGAUCUUUUAUGACUGUUUUUAUUGAUGUUGAUGUUUUAUUGUUGAGUAAUUUGCUUUAUUGUUUUGCUUCUGCUUUUAUAUUGUUGUGUCUGGGCAAGGCCCCAUGUAAGCCGCCCCGAGUCCCUUUGGGGAGAUGGGGCGGGGUAUAAGAAUAAAGUUGUUGUUAUUAUUAUUAU